UUUAAUGGAGAGUUUGAUCCUGGCUCAGGACGAACGCUGGCGGCGUGCCUAAUACAUGCAAGUCGAGCGAGGGUUUUCGGACCCUAGCGGCGGACGGGUGAGUAACACGUAGGCAACCUGCCUGCAAGACUGGGAUAACAUAGGGAAACUUAUGCUAAUACCGGAUAGGGGUUUGCUUCGCAUGAAGCGAACCGGUAAGAUGGCGCAAGC
rnacentral:rRNA from 1 species